GUAAGGAAUAUUGGACAAUGGACGCAAGUCUGAUCCAGCCAUGCCGCGUGAAGGAUUAAGGUCCUCUGGUUUGUAAACUUCUUUUAUAAGGGACGAAAAAAGGCUUUUCUAAGUCGUCUGACGGUACCUUAUGAAUAAGCACCGGCUAACUCCGUGCCAGCAGCCGCGGUAAUACGGAGGGUGCAAGCGUUAUCCGGAUUCACUGGGUUUAAAGGGUGCGUAGGCGGGCAGGUAAGUCAGUGGUGAAAUCCUAGCGCUUAACUCUAGGACUGCCAUUGAUACUAUCUGUCUGGAAUAUUGUGGAGGUAAGCGGAAUAUGUCAUGUAGCGGUGAAAUGCUUAGAUAUGACAUAGAACACCUAUUGCGAAGGCAGCUUACUACGCAUAUAUUGACGCUGAGGCACGAAAGCGUGGGGAUCAAACAGGAUUAGAUACCCGUGUAGUCC
rnacentral:rRNA from 1 species